AAAAUCAGAAAAGGUUGCUUUUGUUAAAGGGUUGGUUGACUGUGUCGAGCCUGUAGAGAAAAAGGAGAGAGAAAGCAGAAGAUCGUGGUCCAUGAAGUACCAUCUGCGACUCUGCGUUGAUAACA